rnacentral:rRNA from 1 species
UACAGAGGAGGCUAGCGUUGUUCGGAAUCACUGGGCUUAAAGCGCGUGUAGGCGGCCUGUCAAGUAUCUUGUGAAAUCCCCGGGCUCAACUCGGGAAUCGCUGGGUAUACUGACGGGCUUGAGGUAGGUAGGGGUGCCUGGAACUCUAGGUGGAGCGGUGAAAUGCGUAGAGAUCUAGAGGAACGCCCGUGGCGAAAGCGGGGCACUGGGCCUGUCCUGACGCUAAGACGCGAAAGCGUGGGGAGCAAACGGG